GAGAGAAGAACCAUAUUUCGUUGGUGCUAAUUAAAUCUUGUAGUAUUUUCUUAAUCAAAACGAUUAUUAUGAAUAUUUUUUGAUAAUUAGGUAUUGUUUUAUAUAUACAUUCGGAAAAUAAUAAAAGUUUCGUGGCAGGAAAAAAGAAAAUUAGGAAAUUUCUAUAAAAAUUUUUUGACACGGGAAUCUAACCAAAAAAGUUUAGCAUCGACAUGUUAAAUAAAAAAAAAUAUAGGGCUAAAAGAUGGAAUGACAUUUAAAAAAAGGAGAAAAAUAUGUUUAAGUGAAUUUUGAACUAAUGUUAAUCCUUUCGGCCCCUUUGGCAUCAGUUCUUCUCAACUGAGAAUUCAAACAAAGAGAAGAAUUGGAUAAAAUUCUUAUCUAUAGAUGAGAUGAAAAACAACAUCUUCUGAAUCAUCGAGUAAGUGUCCAAUCAUGAAGGAUGGGUGUUUGUUGCGGAGCUGCUCCUGGAGGAGAUCUUGCAUUGCUGAGUCGCAGUUCAAUGCAGUUGGUCCAGUAGCGGAAAGAUUUGUCCAUUGAAAGAGAGGAUAUGCUGACAUCGUAUUUUUUACACAACGCAGAAAUUUUCCCUUAUAGGUCCAUAAGAAGGAAAUCCUUUUAUAAAAAGGAUAUGCUGUCAUCGUUUCUCUAACACUACGCAGAAAUCCCCUCAUAUAGCUCCAUUCCAAAUUUCCAAAUAUCUGAAGAGACUGGGAAGGAUGUGGAAGAAGAAAAGUGGCCCCUGCAACAUAUUUUUUUUAUAAAAUAUUUUUUUCUUUUUUUCAUAUUUUUUUAUAAUAUUUUUUUUUGAGCUCCCGGCCUCACGCAGAAGUGCGUCCAAGAAAGAGGGAUCCUCGGGAGCUGGCCCUGAAGCGCUCGAGAGUGGCAAUGACGUUAUUGUCCCGACGAGGGAUGUUUCGCCGAUCGAAAUAUUUAAAAUCUAAUUUUAAAUUCUCCGGCAAAAAUCGUAUCAAUCUAAAAUAUAGAUGCUCAUAAGUUUUCGGUGUGUAAGAGUCUUAAUAAAGAAAAAGAUUCCUUUAUCGGUAUUUCUUCGGCUGAUUCCUUUGGCGGACAAUCAAAUUGUGCCCAUUUGCAGAGUAAACAUUUUUUCAAAGUUGUCGAUGCUGUUUGUGCGCUACAUUUCCAACAAAAGAAAAAGAAUAUAAAUUGACGGAGAGGAAAAAGGAUGCAGAGAUAGAAAUUGGCCUUAGAAACAAUUCCUCGUGUUCGUAGAAGAAGGUCUUAUCUAUGCGCCAAGACUGAUCCUGAAAAGACGAUACUGCCAUCGACUUCAACAAGCUAGUGCACCAAUGGAUGCAGGAAUUAUUGUGUUCUCAAUCUAUGUAGAAGUACAAAUAAGACAGUAAUGCUCCGCGAUUUGGAAUUUACACUGAUUGUAGCCGAGUGGUUAGAGCUUCUAACUUGUAACAUAAAACCAGGGUUCGAUUCUUUGUGGAGGUGAUGUUGACACUUGUUCAGUAUAAUGAUUGUUGACUGCGACAAAUGGUUUUGGGGAGUCAAUUGGACUGCAGGAACGUGAUUCUGUCGUUUGUGGUUCCGGUAAAAGAUGCUGCUGCUGCUGUUGCAACUUCCCAUUUUGUUCCUGUAACAAACAAGUUGCAAUUCGUUUUGAGCGCAGUUCGAGUGGAAGUAUUGGACAUUUUUAUACGUGAGGGAAAAAAAACAGAGACGUGAAGGUUAAUAAACUCAGUAUUCUGGAAAG